rnacentral:tRNA from 1 species
CUGGUUGUAGCUCAGUGGGGAGAGCGCCGCAUUUGGGAUGCGGAGGCCGUAGGUUCGAGACCUGCCAAUCAGA